rnacentral:misc_RNA from 1 species
UUUCCGUAGGUGAACCUGCGGAAGGAUCAUUACCGAGUGAGGGUCUCUCAGGCCCGACCUCCCACCCUGUGUUUUUGUGACCUUGUUGCUUUGGCGGGUCCGCCUCGAUGAGAGGCCGCCGGAAGCUCACCGCUUUGGGCCCGUGCCCGCCAGUAGCCCCCUUAAAUUCUUAAUAAACCUGUCGUCUGAGUCUAGAUAUAAUAAAAAAAACUUUCAACAACGGAACUCUUGGUUCUGGCAUCGAUGAAGAACGCAUCAGAUCGGAAAAGCACACCUCUU